UGUCAAAUGACCUACUCUACCAGCCAAGUAAAAACCUAACUACAUUGACCAUCAAAACAUGAUUUUAAAGAAUGAAAUCUAGCAAGAGUAGACCACAAACAGACCCAAUUGACUAACUACUAGAAAUACAUAUUUCUGUUUACCAACUUCUCAUGUUAUAGCCUACCAAACGUAUCAGAUUCAAAAGUCCGAUUUCAUAAGCUGCAUU
rnacentral:lncRNA from 1 species